rnacentral:rRNA from 1 species
CCCUGAAAGGAGAAAUAAAGGCACCCCCGGGGCUUAAAAGAAACGGUGGGCGAGGGCAUGCCCGCCCGGGUUAAAUACGGUUAGGGGGUGCCAAGGCGGUUUAAAUCGGGAAAUUAACUUGGGGCGGUAAAGGCGGUGCGGCAGGGCGGGUGUGAUGUUAGGUUGGGAGUGGGAGGAUGCGCCGGGGGCGUGGGCGGUGGGGGACUUGCAUUGGGAAUAACUGGGUCAGGCUAGAGGUGUGUCAGAGGGGGGGUAGGAUUCCGACGUGUAGCAGUGAAAUGCGUAGAGAUGUGGUGGAAUACCGAUGGCGAAGGCAGCCCGCCGUGGGAUGACACUGACGCUCAUGCACGAAAGCGUGGGGAGCAAAACAGGAAUUGAGAUACGGGUGGUGAGUCCAGCGCCGGUAGGACGGAUGUGGUAGUGAGUUGUGCGGGUCUUGAAUUGACUUGGUGAACGCAGCUAACGCGUGAAGUAGACCGCCUGGGGAGUACGGUCGCAAGAUUAAAACUCAAAGGAAUUGACGGGGACCCGCACAAGCGGUGGAUGAUGUGGAUUAAUUCGAUGCAACGCGAAAAACCUUACCUACCCUUGACAUGGCAGGAAUCCUGAAGAGAUUUGGGAGUGCUCGCAAGAGAACCUGCACACAGGUGCUGCAUGGUUGUCGUCAGCUCGUGUCGUGAGAUGUUGGGUUAAGUCCCGCAACGAGC